rnacentral:lncRNA from 1 species
CCUCCUGGCAGAUGGAGUUGAUGUCGGCUCCUGAGAUCUUAUCGGGCCGCGCCACAUAGUCCUCCAGGUCCACCUCCUCGGAGAGGUUCAUUUUGCCGGUGAUGGUGGAGAAGAUGAGGCGCUUUUGGCGCCGGUCGGGCAGCGGGAAUUCGAUCUUGCGGUCCAGGCGGCCCGGCCGCAGCAGCGCCGGGUCCAACGUGUCCGCGCGGUCGUGGCCAUGAUCACCU